CCUACGGGCGGCAGCAGUAGGGAAUUUUCGGCAAUGGGGGGAACCCUGACCGAGCAACGCCGCGUGAACGAAGAAGUUCUUCGUAAUGUAAAGUUCUUUUAACAGGGAAGAAAGAGAAAUUUGACGGUACCUGAAGAUUAAGCUCCGGCUAACUACGUGCCAGCAGCCGCGGUAAUACGUAGGGAGCGAGCGUUAUCCGGAAUUAUUGGGCGUAAAGGGUGGGUAGAUGGCAUAGUAAGUCUGUUGUAAAAAUGCUGGGCUAAACCCAGUAGGGCAAAAGAAACUGCAAAGCUAGAGUAUGACAGAGGAGAGUGGAACUACAUGUGUAGCGGUAAAAUGCGUAGAUAUAUGUAAGAACACCAGUGGCGAAGGCGGCUUGCUGGGUCGAUACUGACGUUGAGGCACGAAAGCGUGGGGAGCAAACAGGAUUAGAUACCCCUGUAGUC
rnacentral:rRNA from 1 species